rnacentral:rRNA from 1 species
GACGAACGCUGGCGGCGUGCCUAAUACAUGCAAGUCGAACGCACAGGAUGCACCGUAGUUUCCUACACCGUAUUCUGUGAGUUGCGAACGGGUGAGUAACGCGUAGGUAACCUUCCUGGUAGCGGGGGAUAACUAUUGGAAACGAUAGCUAAUACCGCAUAAGAACAUUUACUGCAUGGUAGAUGUUUAAAAGGUGCAAAUGCAUCACUACCAGAUGGACCUGCGUUGUAUUAGCUAGUAGGUGAGGUAACGGCUCAACUAGGCGAAGAUACAUAGCCGACCUGAGAGGGUGAUCGGCCACACUGGGAAUGAGAAACGGCCCAGACUCCUACGGGAGGCAGCAGUAGGGAAUCUUCGGCAAUGGGGGGAAACCUGACCGCGCAACGCCGCGUGAGUGAAGAAGGUUUUCGGAUCGUAAAGCUCUGUUGUUAAGGAAGAAAGAGUGUGAGAAUGGAAAGUUCAUACUGUGACGGUACUUAACCAGAAAGGGACGGCUAACUACGUG